UACGUAGGGUGCGAGCGUUGUCCGGAAUUAUUGGGCGUAAAGAGCUCGUAGGCGGUUUGUUGCGUCGGCCGUGAAAACCUGCAGCUUAACUGUGGGCCUGCGGUCGAUACGGGCAGACUUGAGUUCGGUAGGGGAGACUGGAAUUCCUGGUGUAGCGGUGGAAUGCGCAGAUAUCAGGAGGAACACCGAUGGCGAAGGCAGCUCGCUGGAACGGUACUGACGCUGAGGCGCGAAAGCGUGGGGAGCGAACAGG
rnacentral:rRNA from 1 species